CCUACGGGCGACUGCAGUGGGGGAUAUUGGACAAUGGGGGGAACCCUGAUCCAGCGACGCCGCGUGAGUGAAGAAGUAUUUCGGUAUGUAAAGCUCUGUCAGCAGGGAAGAAAGCAAUGACGGUACCUGACCAAGAAGCCCCGGCUAACUACGUGCCAGCAGCCGCGGUAAUACGUAGGGGGCAAGCGUUAUCCGGAAUUACUGGGUGUAAAGGGAGCGUAGACGGCUGUGCAAGUCUGGAGUGAAAGGCGGGGGCCCAACCCCCGGACUGCUCUGGAAACUGUAUGGCUGGAGUGCAGGGGAGGUAAGCGGAAUUCCUAGUGUAGCGGUGAAAUGCGUAGAUAUUAGGAGGAACACCAGUGGCGAAGGCGGCUUACUGGACUGUAACUGACGUUGAGGCUCGAAAGCGUGGGGAGCAAACAGGAUUAGAUACCCGGGUAGUC
rnacentral:rRNA from 1 species